UAUUAAAAAAUUCAUUUAUUUGUAUUGUUAAAAAUUAACGUGGUUGAUCGGAUAACUAAACAUUGACAUGUAUAUCGUGUGUACCUUGUUUUGACGUAUAAUGACCAGUUUUUAACAGCAGAAACGAAUAAAAUUUACCC
rnacentral:pre_miRNA from 1 species